rnacentral:rRNA from 1 species
UACGGAAGGUGCAAGCGUUGUUCGGAAUUACUGGGCGUAAAGCGCGUGUAGGCGGUUAUGCAAGUCGGGUGUGAAAGCCCGGAGCUCAACUCCGGAAGUGCAUUCGAUACUGCGUAGCUAGAGUACUGGAGAGGAUGGUGGAACUCUCGGUGUAGAGGUGAAAUUCGUAGAUAUCGAGAAGAACACCGGUGGCGAAGGCGGCCAUCUGGACAGAUACUGACGCUGAGACGCGAAAGCGUGGGGAGCAAACAGG